AGUGAACGCUGGCGGUAGGCCUAACACAUGCAAGUCGAACGGCAGCACAGUAAGAGCUUGCUCUUACGGGUGGCGAGUGGCGGACGGGUGAGGAAUACAUCGGAAUCUACUUUUUCGUGGGGGAUAACGUAGGGAAACUUACGCUAAUACCGCAUACGACCUACGGGUGAAAGCAGGGGAUCUUCGCACCUUGCGCGAUUGAAUUAGCCGAUGUCGGAUUAGCUAGUUGGCGGGGUAAAGGCCCACCAAGGCGACGAUCCGUAGCUGGUCUGAGAGGAUGAUCAGCCACACUGGAACUGGAACACGGUCCAGACUCCUACGGGAGGCAGCAGUGGGGAAUGUUGGACAAUGGGCGCAAGCCUGAUACAGCCAUACCGCGUGGGUGAAGAAGGCCUUCGGGUUGUAAAGCCCUUUUGUUGGGAAAGAAAAGCAGCAGGUUAAUACCCCGCUGUUCUGACGGUACCCAAAAAAUAAGCACCGGCUAACUUCGUG
rnacentral:rRNA from 1 species